rnacentral:rRNA from 1 species
AACGAACGCUGGCGGCGUGCUUAACACAUGCAAGUCGAACGCGAAAGGGACUUCGGUCCUGAGUAAAGUGGCGCACGGGUGAGUAACGCGUAGAUAACCUGUCUUCGAGUCUGGAAUAAUACACCGAAAGGGGUACUAAUACCGGAUAUUCUUGCGUUUCAUAAGGGACGUAAGCAAAGGUGGCCUCUGCAUAUGCUACUGCUUGAAGAGGGGUCUGCGUACCAUUAGCUAGUAGGUAGGGUAAUGGCCUACCUAGGCUACGAUGGUUAGCGGGUCUGAGAGGAUGAUCCGCCACACUGGCACUGGAACACGGGCCAGACUCCUACGGGAGGCAGCAGUGAGGAAUAUUGCGCAAUGGGGGAAACCCUGACGCAGCGACGCCGCGUGAGUGAGGAAGGCCUUCGGUCGUAAAGACUCUGUCGGGGGGACGGAAGUACUGACGGUA